rnacentral:misc_RNA from 1 species
GAUGAAGAACGUAGUGAAAUGCGAUAAGUAAUGUGAAUUGCAGAAUUCAGUGAAUCAUCGAAUCUUUGAACGCACAUUGCGCCCGCUAGUAUUCUGGCGGGCAUGCCUGUUCGAGCGUCAUUUCAACCAUCAAGCCCCAGGCUUGUGUUGGGGACCUGCGGCUGCCGCAGGCCCUGAAAACCAGUGGCGGGCUCGCUGUCACACCGGGCGUAGUAGAUUUUAUCUCGCUCAGGGCGUGCUGCGGGUUCCGGCCGUUAAAAAGCCUUUUUUACCCAAGGUUGACCUCGGAUCAGGUAGGAAGACCCGCUGAACUUAAGCAUAUCAAUAAGCGGAGGA